UGAACCAGAGCCGAUGUCAUAUAUAUUUGGCCGCUGCCGCGAGUGGCGCUGUGGCGCACUUUUGCCAGUGAGACCCUGUCUGCUCAUCCCCCCGCCUUCACAGCGACGUAAAUGCAUACAUAUUUUUCAACUCUGGACAUUACGACCAAAUUAUAAGAUAAAAUGCAAAAAUCUUUUGGCUAUCCCUCCAUGCAGCCCCUGCUCUUCCUGUAAAGAGACUUGUGCCCCUACCAAAGGAGCUGAUGUUUCUGAUGCCGGAACCAUCCGCCCCAACACCAACAGAGACCAACAUCACUGUUCCAGUGGCUCCUGAGAUUUCUGCAGAGCCCUGUCAACCGACACUGCAUCCACCAGC